CAGCCGCCGCGGUAAUACGUAGGGUGCGAGCGUUAAUCGGAAUUACUGGGCGUAAAGCGUGCGCAGGCGGUUCGUUAAGACAGAUGUGAAAUCCCCGGGCUUAACCUGGGAACUGCAUUUGUGACUGGCGAGCUAGAGUAUGGCAGAGGGGGGUAGAAUUCCACGUGUAGCAGUGAAAUGCGUAGAGAUGUGGAGGAAUACCGAUGGCGAAGGCAGCCCCCUGGGCCAAUACUGACGCUCAUACACGAAAGCGUGGGGAGCAAACAGGAUUAGAUACCCCAGUAGUCCCUGUCUCUUAUAC
rnacentral:rRNA from 1 species